GUCGAGGGGUAUGGCAGCAAUGCCAGAGACCGGCGCACGGGUGCGUAACGCGUAUGCAACCUACCUUUCACAGGGGGAUAGCCCAGAGAAAUUUGGAUUAAUACCCCAUGGUAUAUUGAGAUGGCAUCAUCUUAUUAUUAAAGUCACAACGGUGAAAGAUGGGCAUGCGUCCUAUUAGCUAGUUGGUGUGGUAACGGCAUACCAAGGCUACGAUAGGUAGGGGUCCUGAGAGGGAGAUCCCCCACACUGGUACUGAGACACGGACCAGACUCCUACGGGAGGCAGCAGUGAGGAAUAUUGGUCAAUGGGCGCAAGCCUGAACCAGCCAUGCCGCGUGCAGGAUGAAGCAUCUAUGGUGUGUAAACUGCUUUUGUACGGGAAGAAACCCCUCCACGUGUGGAGGAUUGACGGUACCGUAAGAAUAAGGAUCGGCUAACUCCGUGCCAGCAGCCGCGGUAAUACGGAGGAUCCAAGCGUUAUCCGGAAUCAUUGGGUUUAAAGGGUCCGUAGGCGGGCUAAUAAGUCAGUGGUGAAAUCUCCCCGCUCAACGGGGAAACGGCCAUUGAUACUGUUAGCCUUGAAUUAUUAGGAAGUAACUAGAAUAUGUAGUGUAGCGGUGAAAUGCUUAGAUAUUACAUGGAAUACCAAUUGCGAAGGCAGGUUACUACUAAUUGAUUGACGCUGAUGGACGAAAGCGUGGGUAGC
rnacentral:rRNA from 1 species